CUCACCUUGCCGGCGCCCCCCAGUCAGCGUCCCCCAGGCCAGCCCUGCCCCGUUAGCGCCCGCCCCGUCCGCGUCCUCUCCACGUGUGCCCCGCGGGCUGACAUUCUGUCCGCGUCCGCCGCCAGUGACCUCCCGCCGAUGUCCACCCCUCCACUUUCUUAGAGCCCCCAGGGCAGUAGUCUUCGCUCCCUAAUGUCCGCCCCACCAGCGCCCCUCGAGGCAGCGGCCACCCCCAACCUGCGGUGUCUUCCCAGUCGGAGCCCCCCGUCAGCGACCCCCCAGAGACUGUCCUCCUCGUCACCUAACUCCCUGCAUCGACCACAGACUUUUACUGAGCGCUCCCACUUCGCUGCUGAUGCCCUGGUCUAUCACCACCAGCUCGUCCAGUCACUUCCACGUACUUCCCGCAUGUCACUCUACUCUGGCCCCGUUCUGUCCCUGUACCCCCCUGCCUUGUCCAUAAGGCCUUCUCCAGCCUGUUACUCUUUUAUCCACCUGUCACCUCCCCCCUUCCCUUGUGGCUUAGCUGGUAGAGAAUCCACCUGCAAUGCAGGAGACCUGGGUUCUAUCCCUGGGGUGGGGGAAGAUCCCCUGGAGAAGGGAUAGGCUACCCCCUCCAGUAUUCUGGCCUGGAGAGUUCUGUGGACUGUACAGUCUAUGGGGUCGCAAAGAGCUGGACACCACUGAGUGACUUUCACUCACUCACCUCUCCCCGUGGCCUCUUCCUGCCCUGCCCUUGGCUUCUCAGGGCCUGAGUUCUCACUGGUUCUCUCAGCUGUUCACCUCUUCUUCACGUCUCUUCUUCACGUCCUUUCCUUUUUGGCUUACCUUUCCUUUUGGCUUCUCUAAUGUCUUUGUAAGGACUGAUGCUAAAGCUGAAACUCCAGUACUUUGGCCACCUCAUGCAAACAGUUGACUCAUCGGAAAAAACUCUGAUGCUGGGAGGGGUUGGGGGCAGAAGGAGAAGGGGACGACAGAGGAUGAGAUGGCUGGAUGGCAUCACCGACUCGAUGGAACAAGAAUUUGGGUGAACUCCGGGAGUUGGUGAUGGACAGGGAGGCCUGGCAUGCUGCAAUUCGUGGGGUCGCAAAGAGUCGGACACGACUGAGUGACUGGAUUGAACUGAACUGAAUGUCAGCUAAACCCUGAAAGGCAAGAAGAGCGUUCUAGACUAAGGGGACAGCACAUGCAAAGAUCCUGGACCUUCUCCAGGAACCUGGAUAAGACCGAUAUGUGGCCAGGGUAAAGGGGAGACACUCAGAGCCUUGGUUAAAACGUUGGCCUUCCAGUCGUCUCUUGUAGUCUGUUGACUCCGGCCUAUGAGGGGCCCCAGGCUGCAGGUUGAGUUGGGGAGUGCCAUCAGCAUAUGAAUCACAGAGGGAGAGACAGGAUGUUGGGAGUGAGUGCAGUGUCUUCCUGUGCCUUUUUAGUUGUUAGGGCAGUGGCACCCCGCUCCAGUACUCUUGGCUGGAGAACCCCAUGGACGGAGAAGCCUGGUAGGCUGCAGUCCACGGGGUCGCAAAGAGUCGGACACGACUGAGCGACUUCACUUCCCCUUUCCCUUUCCCAUGGUUGUUAAAGCCAUCCUUCAAAAGUGAAAGGUAAC
rnacentral:lncRNA from 1 species